UAUAAAAUCAUGCAAUCAUUGUAGAGAGUUUUGAAAAUGCAGAAAGUGGGAAAAACUAUCCAUAACUUAAAAGUUCACAAUUGCAUUCACUUUUCUUCUCUUAAACAUAAAAAUAUACAUAUUUACAAAAUUGGGAUUAUGGCAUAUAUAAGAUUUAUAUCUUACUUUUUACUUAUGUAUCAUGACUAUUUUCAGCAGUGCUUUUUAAAAAAAAUUAGAAUGGUGACUAUUUAAGAUUUCCUGAGUAUAAAGUAAAAUGAUGAGUGAAGGCAGGCAAUAAAUGUGACAUCCAGUUAUAAAACAUCAGAGUUGGGCUGGAUGUGGUGGCUCAGACCUGUAAUCCUAGCACUUUGGGAGGCCAGGGCAGGAAGAUUGCUUGAGCCCAGGAGUUCAAGACCAGCCUAGGCAAUGGAGCAAGACCCCAUCUGUAAAAAUAAUUAAAAGGCCAGGUGUGGUGGUUCAUGCCUGUAAUCCCAGCACUUUGGGAGGCCAAGGCAGGAGGAUCACUUGAGGCCAGGAGUUCAAGGCUGAAGUGAGCUAUGAUCCUGCCACUGAACUCCAGUUGGGUGACAGAGUGAGAUCUUGUCUUUAAAAAGAAAGGGGACUGGGUGCAGUGGCUCAUGCUUGCAGUCAGGAGUUUGAGACUAGCCUGGCCAACGUGGUGAAACCUCGUCUCUACCAAAAAUACAAAAAUGAGCCAGGCAGUGUGGUGGUAGGUGCCUGUAAUCCUAGCUACUCAGGGGGCUGAGGCAGGAGAAUCGCUUGAACCCAGGAGGCAGGGGUUGCAGUGAGCCGAGAUCAUGCCACUGCACCCCAACCUGGGUGACAGAGCAAGACUUUGUCUCAAAAUAUAAAAAAUAAUUUUUUUAAAAAAUUAGCCAAACGUGGUGUUACUGCACCUAUAGUCCUAGCUACUCAGGAGGCUGAAGCGGGAGGAUCACUUGAGCCCAGGAGACUGAAGUUGCAGUGAGCUAUAAUCACAGCUCUGCACUCCAGCCUAGGUGACAGAGUGAGAAUAUCUCCCUAAGAAAUAAUAAUAAUAAUAAUUAAUAAAUAAAAUAAAAUAUCAGAGUUGAAAUAGGCCUUAGACAUUAUCUUGUUUAAAAUUUUUGGUUAUAGUUGGACAGACUUAAGCCCAGGAAGCAAAACUGACUCAUCAAAGAUAAUUUGCUUAGGUAAACAAAUUUAUUGAUUGAACUAUUAUUAUGUAUCAGAAUCUGUGGUAGGGUGACCAGUUGUCCUGGUUUGCCUGGAACUGAGGAGUUCCAGGGACAUGAGAUUUUCAAUGCUAAAACUGGAACAGUCAGGGUAAUCACUCUAUGGUUCUCCCUGUGUACAUGUUAAUAAAUUUGUAUGAGCUGGGCACAGUGGCUUAUGCCUGUAAUCCCAGCACUUUGGGAGGUCAAGGCAGGUGGAUCACUUGAGCUGAGUCCGAGACAAGCCUGAGCAACAUAGAAAAACCUCGUCUCUACAAAAAAAAAAAAAAAGAAUAAAUGUGUUUGCCUUUUUUCCAAAAAACAAAACUAAAAAACAAAAAAUAGCCUGGGGUCUGGUGGUGUGUGCCCAUAAUCCCAGCUACUCAGGAGGGUGAGGCAGAAGGACUGCUUGAGCCCAGCCCUGGGCAACAUAGCAAGACCCCAUCUCAAAAAAACAAAACAAAACUGGAAUAAUCCCAAGCAAACCUGGACAGUUGGUUGCUCUAUUACUAGGCCCUGGAGACAGAACAACUUAUGAGAUAUGACUUCUGCUCUCAAGUCGGAGAGACAUGUGAGCAAAUCAUUACAAUAUGAUAUGUACCAAAAGAGCUCCCACACUGUAAGUGAGGCAAGAUUUCUGAGGUCCUGAAACCUCUAGGACAAGAAGGGAGUUAAGCAGAUUAAAGCCAGAGUAGGAAUGGGGCCAUUUGGAAAGCAUCGAGUCUGAACCAUCAGUACAGUAAAAGACACAGUAGUAAAAAAUAAUAGCUAAGAAUUUACUGAUAAUUUAGCUAUGCGCCAGGCAUUAUGCUAUAUAUUAUCUGCUUUAAUCUUUACAACCCCAUAAGGUUGGAUUUGUCAUAUGAGUGAUGAAGACACCAUUGGAGAGUUUUAAGCAGAAGAGUAAUAUAAUUGUGUGCUUUAAAGAUAAAUGAUCACUAUGGCAGUAUGUAAAGAGCUUUUAAAAAAUCCAAUACACGUACACACUCUUUUGAAAUAUCUGUAAUCCCCCAAACCCAGUUUCAUAAAAGAGAUUCCAGAUUCACAAUACAGUUUAAAACCAAAUUGUUUAACAUCUUAACUCCUCUAUUCUUUUUAUUUUUUCUGUUCUUCCAUUGGCUUUCUACCAAUGUACAAACUCUGUAAGGAAGUUAUUAGGUUCUAUGGCAAGGGCUCCCUCUGUUGGUUGUGCAGCAACACAACAGCAACUAUUUGACAUCCAGCAGAAACAAUUGCUUUAGGUUUUUACAGUAAUCCUUUUUUAAAGAAAAUCAGAGAUCUUUCCUCUAAAUUUCAAUAAUUUGUGAAAUAUGGAAACAAAUAUAAGACCCAGUUAUUCAGUCUUUGAAGUUUAAACCAAAGAAAAAUUUUCUUACUUGCAGUCACCAUUUUCACUGGCAUCAUUCCAUGUCUUCAUCAAAGAGCCAUUUACAUUCAUUAAACUGGACAGCUAUUUGAAUUUCAUAAUAGAAUUAUCCAGACCUUCAUUUCCUAUUAUGCCCAUAGUCAUACAAAUGAACUUUGUUAUCACUUAUCAGUAAUAAUCACUCAUUGAGAAUGUCAUUUCUAUACAGCUCCCAGAUCGCCUAAGCCCAUGACAGAUUGGCUCCCAAUUCCUCCAAAUGAAUGCCUGGCAGCGGCUGCAAUAAAAGCUCCACCAUGUAGGACUAACCCCUUCAGGCUGUAGACAGAAUAAUUUGCUCAUUCAACCAAGAUCCACUUCUACUUGCUCCAAACCAAUUCUGCUCUUGGGAGACAGUUUAAUAACGUAGACACUAAACUCAAGAACCCCCUGGUGUAGUGUGGAAGAUAUUUAACAUUUGAAGCAUGGCUCCAACUUGAAGCAGACUACAAUAAAUGUCAUUAACAUAGUACAAUGCGCCAUAAAAGCAGAAGGAAAUAGCAAGUAUGAUUGAGAGACUUCAGGCAGACAUCUUGGAGAAGGUACUAUCUGGCUUGAACAGGACAAAAGAUCCAUGGUGUCAGGAAUGUUUGUUUUGUCCAUCACUGUAUCCUAAGUUCCUGUAACUUUCAUUGGCACAUGGUAAGUGCUUAGUAAAUAGUUACUGAAUGAAUGAGUAGAUUUUUGAAAUCAAUAGGAAUUUUACUUACAGGAAAAGGCAGAGAAAAAGAAUUUCCCUUUUGAAAAUGCUUAUCCUCAAAACCUAAACAAACCUUUUGUUUGUUUAGCCUGCCAAAACCCUUCCCUUGGCUCUCUAAUUUCUUCAGGAUGAAAUACUGUCCCUGUCUGCCAGGCAUGGUAGCUCAUGCCUAUAAUCCCAGCACUUUGGGAGGCUGAGGGAGGAGAAUCACUUGGGGCCAGGAGGUCACCAACGUGGGCAACAUAGCAAGACCAUGUCUCUAUAUAUUUUUAUUAUUAUUAUUAACAGAGUGUGGUGGCACACACCUCUAGUCCCAGCUACUCAGGCGGCUGAGGUGGAAGGAUAGCUUGAGCCCAGGAGUUUGAGGCUACAGUGAGUUGUGAUGGAGCCACAGCACUCCGGCCUGGACAACCUGGUCUCAAAAAAAACAAAAAGAAAAGAAAAGAAAAAAAGAGCCCACGUAUUUUCCCUUUAUCUGCCUUUUUCACCAUUAGCUUCAUCUUCAGGCUGGUAACAGGAUGGCUACAGAGGUUUCAAGCAUCACAAAAUCCAGAGGAAGAAGAGGAACUUCUUCUUUCUGUAGAAUAAGGAAGUAUUUUCCAGAAGCUCCCCACAAUACUUUCCCUUGUCCACUUGGCCAUCCCUAAAUCACUCACUAGCAAGGGGGAUGAUGUUCCCAUAAAUAGUUUGGCUGAUCAUCUAAGGUAGAGUGGAAGUUGGUGACCUUUUAUGUUAGUUACUGCAGUAAGGUCUUGCUGUAACUCCUCAGCCCCCAGAAUUGGAUACCUUAUGUCUCUGUGUAUCUGCUUUUGUGACCCUGCCCUGAAACUCACUACCAUGUUCAUACCCUAGACCUUGUCCCUACCAAUAAAUGUGUCUCUCCAUAAUUUCAAUUUCAGGGAUCCCACCCUCUGACUUUCUAUAUUUCCAGCUCACUUUUUUAAUAUCAACUCCAACAAUCUUCCAAUCCCACAGGGACCUAUAUGCCACUGAUGAUCUUACCACAUUCCUUUUCACAAUCUUCCAUCCCCUACACAAAUUCUUCUAUAUCCAGCUUAAAUAUCAUGGUCAAUCAUUAUAAUCACUCUCUUGCAUAUCCCCUGGACUCCCUUGCUCCCUUCACUUCAUGGUACUCUCUUGGCAAAUCUGCAGUUCUGCUUGUAUCCAACUCUCUGCUUACUCAGUACCUGGACCAAGACCUGGAGUAGGACUGGAGAAAAAUACAUACCAAUGUUAAUUAGUCUUACUCUACGCUUAAUGUCUUUACUGCUGAAUAGUAAAGCUGCUUAGCAAUUACAACGUAUUUCUCCAGUCCAUUUUAUGUUUCAUUCUCUGAGAUGACCUCCAUGAGAUCUCCUGUCUCCUAAAACUUUCAAUACCUCCUUUUGAUUUUUUUGUUUUUUCCUGCAAAUGCUAUGGUGACUUACCUUCUUUUCAGUGCUUGUUUUCCAGCUGCUUACUUUGCUUAUUUUACCGAGAAAACACAGGCAACUAGAGGGGAAUUUCCAUAUGUUCCCAUCACCCCCAUCUAACUCCUAGCUACAUCAGUGCUCACACCUCUGCUUUCUCUGUUAAUGUGGAUGCAGUCUGUGAUCUAGCAGACCCAUUCUUAUUAUGCAGUAGAUUCCAUCCCUUCCCAUCAACUCAAAGAAAUUUCCCCCAGCAAUUCUUCCAUUCUAUAUUCUGCAUCACCAAUAUUUUUUAUUUUAUUUAUUUAUUUAUUUAUUUAUUUAUUACUAGAUCAGGAAUAAUUUUGCCAUCCCCCUUCCACAAGAGACAUUUGGCAAUUUCUGGAGACUCUUGUGGUUAUCACAACCCAGGAAAGAAGCAGGGCGCACUACUGGCCUCUAGUGGACAGAAUGCUAAGAAGCUUUCUAAACAUCUUACAAUGCAGAGGAUGGCCCUUCUUAACAAAGAAUUAUUCUGCCUAAAAUGUCAGUCCCAAAUUGAGAAACCCUGUACUAGGCCAUUCCUAUAAGCACAUAAACACACACACACAAGUGCUAUUAUUUCUCCCAUUUUAAAAAUCACCCUCCCGUGACUCCACAUACCCUUCCAAUUUCAAUCCUAUUUCCUGCUCCCGUUUACUGAAAAGUCCUCAAAAGUCUUAUCUAAUCUCACUGUGUCCACUUCCUUUCCUCUAAGUCUCACUUAGACUUUCCCAAUCUGGCUGUGACCCAAUAUCCCAUUGGAAUUGCUUUUGUCAAGACCACAAAUGGCCUCCAUGUUGUUAAGUCCCAGGGUCAAUUCUCAGCAGCACAUGAUUGAAUUGAUUACUCCCUUUACCUAGAAGUGCCUCCUUCAUUUGACUGCUAGAAUCUACCCUCUCCUUGUUUUCUUUCUAUUCUUUUUUUUAGGUUCAUGCUAAUUACUUUUUUUACUUUUUUAUUAAUACAUGAUAAUUGUACAUAUUUGUGUGGUACAUGUCAUACUUUGAUACAUGCAUACAAUGUGUAAUGAUCAAAUCAGGGUAUUUAGGAUAUGCAUCACCUCAAAUAUUUAUCAUUUAUUUUUGUCCAGAACGUUUCAAAUCUUCUCUUCUAGCUAUUUGGAAAUAUACAGCACAUUGGUGUUAACUAUAUUCACCCUACUGUGCUGCCAAACUCUAGAACUUAUUCCUUCUAUCUAACCAUAUGUUUGUACCCGUUAACAAAUCUCUCGGCAUCCUCCUACCCCCACCCAGCCUCUGGUAACUAUCAUUCCACUCUCCACCUCUAUGAGAUCAACAUUUUACAGCUCUCACAUAUGAGUGAGAACAUGCAAUAUUUGUCUUUCUGUGCCUGGCUUUUUUCACUUAAUCUAAUUUGAAUAAUUCCCCCUCAGUCUCCCUUUCUGGUUGCCCAUAUACUGACCUCUAAAUGUUGGAGUUCCUGAAGCUCAUUCCUUGCACUUUUCUCUUGUAUGUACUUGCUCCCUGGGCAGCCUCAUUCAGUCCUGUGACUUCAAAUAUCAUCUACGUACUGAUAGAUCC
rnacentral:lncRNA from 10 species